AGAACGAACGCUGGCGGCGUGGAUAAGACAUGCAAGUCGAACGCUACUUAUUUUGUUAGCAAUAACGAAGUAAGUGGAGUGGCGAAAGGGUGCGUAACACGUGGGAAUUUACCAAGAAGUGGGGAAUAGCUCAGCGAAAGCUGAAUUAAUACCGCAUAUGAUCGAAAGAUCAAAGCCGGGGACCGCAAGGCCUGGCGCUUUUUGAGAAGCCCGCGGCCCAUCAGCUAGUUGGCGAGGUAAAAGCUCACCAAGGCUAUGACGGGUAGC
rnacentral:rRNA from 1 species